CAGCCGUAAACGAUGCAGACUUGGUGUUGGAAGUCCUUUGGGGGCAUUCAGUGCCGGAGAGAAGUUGUUAAGUCUGCUACUUGGGGAGUACGUCCGCAAGGAUGAAACUUAAAGGAAUUGGCGGGGGAGCACCGCAACGGGAGGAGCGUGCGGUUUAAUUGGAUUCAACACCGUAAAACUCACCAGGGAAGACUGUUACAUGAAAGCCGAGAUGAAGACUCUGCUAGAUUUUCAGAGAGGAGGUGCAUGGCGUCAGUGACU
rnacentral:rRNA from 1 species